AGCGAACGCUGGCGGCAGGCUUAGCACAUGCAAGUCGAACGGGCGUAGCAAUACGUCAGUGGCAGACGGGUGAGUAACGCGUGGGAACGUGCCUUUUGGUUCGGAACAACACAGGGAAACUUGUGCUAAUACCGGAUAAGCCCUUACGGGGAAAGAUUUAUCGCCAAAAGAUCGGCCCGCGUCUGAUUAGCUAGUUGGUGAGGUAAUGGCUCACCAAGGCGACGAUCAGUAGCAGGUCUGAGAGGAUGAUCAGCCACACUGGGACUGAGACACGGCCCAGACUCCUACGGGAGGCAGCAGUGGGGAAUAUUGGACAAUGGGCGCAAGCCUGAUCCAGCCAUGCCGCGUGAGUGAUGAAGGCCCUAGGGUUGUAAGGCUCUUUUGUGCGGGAAGAUAAUGACGGUACCGCAAGAAUAAGCCCCGGCUAACUUCGUGCCAGCAGCCGCCGUAAGAC
rnacentral:rRNA from 1 species